GACGGGGGCCCGCACAAGCGGAGGAACAUGUGGUUUAAUUCGAUGAUACGCGAGGAACCUUACCCGGGCUUGAACUGCACAGGACGGUGCGCAGAGACGCGCGCUUUCUUCGGACCUGUGUGGAGGUGCUGCAUGGUUGUCGUCAGCUCGUGCCGUGAGGUGUCGGCUUAAGUGCCAUAACGAGCGCAACCCUCGCCUGCAGUUGCCAUCGGGUAAUGCCGGGCACUCUGCAGGGACUGCCAUCGCAAGAUGUGAGGAAGGUGGGGAUGACGUCAAAUCAGCACGGCCCUUACGUCCGGGGCUACACACGUGUUACAAUGGGGGGCACAGAAGGCCGCUAGCCUGCGAGGGCCGGCCAAUCCUGAAAUCCCCUCUCAGUUCGGACUGGAGUCUGCAACCCGACUCCACGAAGCUGGAUUCGCUAGUAAUCGCGCAUCAGCCAUGGCGCGGUGAAUACGUUCCCGGGCCUUGUACACACCGCCCGUCAAGCCAUGAAAGCCGGGGGUGCCUGAAGACUGAGGUCAAAUCGGUCUAAGGCAAAACUGGUGAUUGGGGCUAAGUCGUAACAAGGUAGCCGUACCGAAA
rnacentral:rRNA from 1 species